rnacentral:rRNA from 1 species
UACGGGGGAUGCAAGCGUUAUCCGGAUUUAUUGGGUUUAAAGGGUGCGCAGGCGGCCUGUUAAGUCAGCGGUAAAAUCGAGGGGCUCAACCCCUUUAAGCCGUUGAAACUGGUGAUCUUGAGUGGGCGAGAAGUAUGCGGAAUGCGUGGUGUAGCGGUGAAAUGCAUAGAUAUCACGCAGAACUCCGAUUGCGAAGGCAGCAUACCGGCGCCCGACUGACGCUGAGGCACGAAAGUGUGGGGAGCAAACAGG